UACCUACACCACAGCUCACAGCAACACUGGAUCCUUAACCCGCUGAGCAAAGCCAGGGGUCGAACCUGUGUCCUCAUGGAUGCUCAUCAUCAUUUCCACUGAGCCAUGAUGGGAACUCCCAACAUCAGAAGACUUUUUAACCUAAGCCACCAAUUUUCAAAAUUUCAGAAUUCCCGAGUAGAGUGGUUGAAAUGCCUUCACUUCAGAGAUUCUGAUUCGGUACCAGACGAGCAAGGACAGCCCUUCUGCCUCAGAGUCCACCGAGAUGGUUCAGACUAAGCCUGCUGGCCUUGGAAUGCCCAUUUCCUCCUGCGGAAACCACGAAAAAGGCUCUUGCUCAGCUGUGGCCCACCUCCCAGCCGACCCCGGCGCCUCUCCGAGUGGCCCUGCGAGAUGUCGCCUGUCAUCCCCCAACUGGGAGUGUAAUAAACUGUCUAUUAGUGGCA